rnacentral:rRNA from 1 species
AACGUAGGUUCCGAGCGUUAUCCGGAUUUACUGGGCGUAAAGCGCGUUCAGGCGGUUUGGCAAGUCGGGCAUGAAAUCUCUCGGCUCAACCGGGAGAGGUUGUCCGAUACUGAUAGACUGGAGGGCAGUAGAGGGUGGUGGAAUUCCGGGUGUAGUGGUGAAAUGCGUAGAGAUCCGGAGGAACACCAGUGGCGAAAGCGGCCACCUGGACUGCACCUGACGCUGAAACGCGAAAGCUAGGGGAGCGAACGGG